AUGGACGAGCAGGGGCUCAGCUCCCCGUGUGCUGCAAAUAGAGGGAACGGCGCUCACAAGGCACGAACAGGAUUAGACCCUGGGUACACCAAGGGUGAAUGUGGCUGGGAAGCAGCUGAGAGACCCUGGGGCUGCCACCUCCAUCCCGGGGGACACCGGGGACCCGUCCCCAUCCUGCCAUCCCCUGGCUGGAGUCCCUGUGCCCCAGCCACAUCCCCCCUGCCGGAGGCCACUGCUGUCCCCACGUUGCCAGGAGACUGUCCCCAGCUCCCCUUCGCUUUCUGCUUCUCUUUCUUUUCCCUUUUAACAAGAAGAAGAAGGAGGGGGGGGUGGAGGACAAAGGCCCAGACGUCCCGCGUGACGUCGCAGUUGCUGGGGAAACACGCGCAAGGCCUUUUCCUUGAAUGUAUUUGUUUUAACAAAGCCCUGUGCCAUCUGCCCCUCCAUCCCCGACCCACGGUGGUUGCUGUUAGGGGCAGGAACGGGGAGCUGGGGGCGUGGGGUGGUUCCCACAGACCCCCCCCCCAGGACCCUUGGGCUGAAUUCCCUCCCUCACACACGCUGCACGGGGCACCCCGCUGUCCCCAUGGGCAGCCUGUUUUUGUUGGGGGUGAAAUGGCCUCAAAGAGCUUGGGGUUUUGGGGGAUCUCUGAGGAGAUUGCCCCUAUUUUCCUGUCCUGCUUUCUAAGGAGCAUCAUCGGCCCCAAGGCUCCCAGCACUUUUUUCUCCCACUGCUGGGGGGGACGAGCACCGGUUGUUCAUCGCUGCCCCCGGGUUUUUGCCUGCCCUCCUUGUGCCUGCUUCCCCCUGGCCCCUUGCCCGGGGAAAGAGACUGAAAAGGGCCAAUGCACCCAGCUCCAGCUGGGGGAACAAAGAGCCCCUUGUCCCAGGCAGCCGGGGCAAAGUGCAGAGCCGGCUUCCCAGGCUUGUCCUUUUCUCCUUCUCUUUCUCCCACUCUGUUUUUCUGUGGGUUUGGGUUGGUUUUGUGUUUUGUUUUUUUUUUUUUUUAAAGACUUCUCUCCAAGAACAGAGUUCUGA
rnacentral:lncRNA from 1 species